GACCUGGCUGGGCGGUCUUGCCGAAAGGUAAGCACUGCUCUGGUCGGGUCUUUCCUUCUGGGGAACCUGUGUGCUCUUAAUUGAGUGCGCAGGGGAUCCAGGACUUUUACUUUGAAAAAAUUAGAGUGUUCAAAGCAGGCUUCACGCUUGAAUACAUUAGCAUGGAAUAAUGAAAUAGGA
rnacentral:rRNA from 1 species